AAGCUCGUAGUUGAAUUUCGUGAUUAGUACGUCGGUCGUACCUUAGGUACGUACUGGUGUUACUGGUUCCUACCUUCUGACGAACCAUCAUGUCAUUAAUUCGGUGUGGUGGGAAUCAGGACUAGUUACUUUGAAAAAAUUAGAGUGUUUAAAGCAGGCUCGCGCUUGAAUACAUUAGCAUGGAAUAAUGAAAUAGGACGUUGAUCCUAUUUUAGUUGGUUUCUAGGAUUGACGUAAUGAUUAAUAGGGAUAGUUGGG
rnacentral:rRNA from 1 species